GGAAUCGGCCCGUUAGCCAGGCCUACGUGCAUGUGUAAGUGGGGGCAUUAUUUGUUUUACCACUAUCAAAUCUACAAUAAAUAUAUCCAUUUUAUCCAAAUGUGUCAUUCCAAAUAAAGUGCUAACAAAACCGAAAACCAUAAGAUUGCAAUGAAAUGUUAAGAAAGAUCAAAAUGCUCAAGUCUUAUAUUGAGACCAAGAGAUGGGAUGCAUUUGAAGACGAAGAAAGAACCUCCAAUAACCACUCCAAGAAGUUCUACCCACCUAAUGCACACAUUUAGAGAGAUAAUAAAUAAGAACCUUCCAUCCCCAUGCUUCUUAUAAACUAUAAACGAACACACACAUAAAUGCUUCUUUGAACAAAGAAGAAUUCUAUUAAGCGUUUGUUAGGCAUCACUGUUGGAGCUGCCGUUGAAAAACAUUUUUUUAAACAUAUUAUUUAAAGAGUAUUAAAAAAAGAUUUAAUAUUAAAUUUGAUAAGUUUUAGACAUA
rnacentral:misc_RNA from 1 species